rnacentral:misc_RNA from 1 species
AUCCAAACAAUGAUUUUUUUGGAUGAAGAAGAUAUUGCUCCAACUCAAGUAAAAGAAAGUGGUGCUGCUAGUUACAAUGCUAAAUCUGAACGUUAUUUUCUAUUGUCAAGUUUAAGUAACAAUAAUGAUUACGAUGAUUAUAGUGGUGACGGUGAAGUUAGAGGAGGAUCAAUGGGUGGACUUGUAGGUGCUACUUCACAAUUACACGAAGGUGAUGGCAAAAGUGGUGUUAGGUGGCAAAACCCCAUUUCCAAAAUAGCC